UACAGAGGGUGCAAGCGUUGUUCGGAAUUAUUGGGCGUAAAGCGCGUGUAGGCGGCUUGGCAAGUCGGGUGUGAAAUCCCUCAGCUUAACUGAGGAAGUGCGCCCGAAACUGCUUUGCUUGAGUGCCGGAGAGGAUGGCGGAAUUCCCCAAGUAGAGGUGAAAAUUCGUAGAUAUGGGGAGGAACACCGGUGGCGAAGGCGGCCACCUGGACGGAUACUGACGCUGAGACGCGAAAGCGUGGGGAGCAAACAGG
rnacentral:rRNA from 1 species